UAGGGAAUCUUCGGCAAUGGACGGAAGUCUGACCGAGCAACGCCGCGUGAGUGAAGAAGGUUUUCGGAUCGUAAAGCUCUGUUGUUAGAGAAGAACGUUGGUAGGAGAGGAAAAUCUACCAAGUGACGGUAACUAACCAGAAAGGGACGGCUAACUACGUGCCAGCAGCCGCGGUAAUACGUAGGUCCCGAGCGUUUUCCGGAUUUAUUGGGCGGAAAGCGAGCGCAGGCGGUUCUUUAAGUCUGAAGUUAAAGGCAGUGGCUUAACCAUUGUACGCUUUGGAAACUGGAGGACUUGAGUGCAGAAGGGGAGAGUGGAAUUCCAUGUGUAGCGGUGAAAUGCGUAGAUAUAUGGAGGAACACCGGUGGCGAAAGCGGCUCUCUGGUCUGUAUCUGACGCUGAGGCUCGAAAGCGUGGGGAGCAAACAGG
rnacentral:rRNA from 1 species